rnacentral:lncRNA from 1 species
CUUCCAUUGUUCUCCUCUUGAAAAUACCUGUACGCCUGCCCUUAGCACCUGUGGAUUCGAGAGUUCUGAGUAGUGGUGUGAAUCUAGGUGUGCUCAUUUAGAAGCACUCUCUGUUCUCAAUCAAUGAAGGAGUAACUGGCAAUAACAUUUCCUCUUAAUUCAGAGCGUUUUAAAUCUCCAGGACACCAAGGGGGAAAAUUAACUGUUUUGGAUCAGCUGAAGGACAAUCUGGAUUCUAGUCCCAACCCCAGAACUUCCUACCCAAUGACCUCUUUGAGUGUGUUUCACCUCUUUGAACAUCUACACCUUCAUUGAUAAAUGGGAAUGUGAUGAUCUCACAGGACUGUAAUGAGGAUCCAGCAACUGUAGGUAAAAGCUUUUUGUAAAUGAACUAGUAACCU